rnacentral:rRNA from 1 species
CUACGGGGGGAAGCAGUAGGGAAUAUUGCGCAAUGGGCGAAUGCCUGACGCAGCAACGCCGCGUGGGUGAUGAAGUUUUUCGGAACGUAAAACCCUGUUAGAGGGGAAGAAAGACUCAAUUUUUGAGUUUUGACGGUACCCUCUGAGGAAGCUCCGGCUAACUCCGUGCCAGCAGCCGCGGUAAUACGGGGGGAGCAAGCGUUGUUCGGAAUUACUGGGCGUAAAGGGUGCGUAGGUGGGCAGGUAAGUCAGACGUGAAAACUCCGAGCUUAACUCGGAGCCUGCGUUUGCAACUGCUUGUCUUGAGUACGGGAGAGGAAAGUGGAAUUUCAGGUGUAGCGGUGAAAUGCGUAGAUAUCUGAAAGAACACCGGUGGCGAAGGCGGCUUUCUAGCCCGAUACUGACGCUGAGGCACGAAGGCUAGGGGAGCAAACAGGAUUAGAUACCCCAGUAGUC